rnacentral:rRNA from 1 species
AGUGAACGCUGGCGGUAGGCUUAACACAUGCAAGUCGAACGGAAGCACAGUAAGUGCUUGCGCUUACGGGUGGCGAGUGGCGGACGGGUGAGGUAUACAUCGGACUCUACUCUUUCGUGGGGGAUAACGUAGGGAAACUUACGCCAGUACCGCAUACGACCUUCGGGUGAAAGCAGGGGAUCUUCGGACCUUGCGCGAUUGAAUGAGCCGAUGUCGGAUUAGCUAGUUGGCGGGGUAAAGGCCCACCAAGGCGACGAUCCGUAGCUGGUCUGAGAGGAUGGUCAGCCGCGCGGGAGCGUAGACACGGUCCAGGCUCCUACGAGAGGCAGCAGUGUGGAAUAUUGGACAAUGGGCGCAAGCCUGAUCCAGCGAUACCGCGUGGGUGAAGGAGGCCUUCGGGUUGUGAAGCCCUUUUGUUGGGAAAGAAAAGCUGCAGGUUGAUACCCCGCUGUUGUGACGGUACCCGAAGAAUAAGCACCGGCUAACUUCGUG